UACGUAGGGUGCGAGCGUUGUCCGGAAUUAUUGGGCGUAAAGGGCUCGUAGGCGGUCUGUCGCGUCGGCUGUGAAAACCUGGGGCUCAACUCCAGGCCUGCAGUCGAUACGGGCAGACUAGAGUUCGGUAGGGGAGACUGGAAUUCCUGGUGUAGCGGUGAAAUGCGCAGAUAUCAGGAGGAACACCGGUGGCGAAGGCGGGUCUCUGGGCCGAAACUGACGCUGAGGAGCGAAAGCGUGGGGAGCGAACAGG
rnacentral:rRNA from 1 species